UGGAGCAUGUGGUUUAAUUCGAAGCAACGCGAAGAACCUUACCAGGUCUUGACAUCCCGAUGCUAUUUCUAGAGAUAGAAAGUUACUUCGGUACAUCGGUGACAGGUGGUGCAUGGUUGUCGUCAGCUCGUGUCGUGAGAUGUUGGGUUAAGUCCCGCAACGAGCGCAACCCCUAUUGUUAGUUGCCAUCAUUCAGUUGGGCACUCUAGCGAGACUGCCGGUAAUAAACCGGAGGAAGUGGGAUGACGUCAAAUCAUCAUGCCCCUUAUGACCUGGGCUACACACGUGCUACAAUGGUUGGUACAACGAGUUGCGAGUCGGUGACGGCGAGCUAAUCUCUUAAAGCCAAUCUCAGUUCGGAUUGUAGGCUGCAACUCGCCUACAUGAAGUCGGAAUCGCUAGUAAUCGCGGAUCAGCACGCCGCGGUGAAUACGUUCCCGGGCCUU
rnacentral:rRNA from 1 species